AAUACCGCGUAACGCCGCGGGGCUGCAUGGCCCCGCGGCCAAAGGAAGCGAUUCCGGCGGGGGAUGGGCAUGCGGCGCAUUAGCUAGUCGGCGGGGUAACGGCCCACCGAGGCGACGAUGCGUAGGGGUUCUGAGAGGAAGGUCCCCCACACUGGUACUGAGACACGGACCAGACUCCUACGGGAGGCAGCAGUGAGGAAUAUUGGUCAAUGGGCGUAAGCCUGAACCAGCCAAGUCGCGUGAGGGAGGACGGUCCUACGGAUUGUAAACCUCUUUUGCCGGGGAGCAACGGGGUCCUUGCGAGGGCCUUAUGAGAGUACCCGGAGAAAAAGCAUCGGCUAACUCCGUGCCAGCAGCCGCGGUAAUACGGAGGAUGCGAGCGUUAUCCGGAUUUAUUGGGUUUAAAGGGUGCGUAGGCGGGCUGUUAAGUCAGCGGUCAAAUGUCGGGGCUCAACCCCGGCCUGCCGUUGAAACUGGCGGCCUCGAGUGGGCGAGAAGUAUGCGGAAUGCGUGGUGUAGCGGUGAAAUGCAUAGAUAUCACGCAGAACUCCGAUCGCGAAGGCAGCAUACCGGCGCCCGACUGACGCUGAGGCACGAAAGCGUGGGUAUCGAACAGGAUUAGAUACCCUGGUAGUCCACGCAGUAAACGAUGAAUGCUAGCUGUCCGGUUCUACGGGACU
rnacentral:rRNA from 1 species